rnacentral:rRNA from 1 species
CCGCCCGUCACCCUCCUCAAAUUAGAUUAAUACAUAUAUAUAUAUAAUUACAGUAAUAAAUUUAUGAGAGGAGACAAGUCGUAACAAGGUAAGCAUACUGGAAAGUGUGCUUGGAUUAU